rnacentral:rRNA from 1 species
UCGUAACAAGGUCUCCGUUGGUGAACCAGCGGAGGGAUCAUUACCGAGUUUACAACUCCCAAACCCCUGUGAACAUACCUUAUGUUGCCUCGGCGGAUCAGCCCGCGCCCCGUAAAAAGGGACGGCCCGCCGCAGGAACCCUAAACUCUGUUUUUAGUGGAACUUCUGAGUAUAAAAAACAAAUAAAUCAAAACUUUCAACAACGGAUCUCUUGGUUCUGGCAUCGAUGAAGAACGCAGCAAAAUGCGAUAAGUAAUGUGAAUUGCAGAAUUCAGUGAAUCAUCGAAUCUUUGAACGCACAUUGCGCCCGCCAGUAUUCUGGCGGGCAUGCCUGUUCGAGCGUCAUUUCAACCCUCAAGCCCAGCUUGGUGUUGGGAGCUGCAGUCCUGCUGCACUCCCCAAAUACAUUGGCGGUCACGUCGAGCUUCCAUAGCGUAGUAAUUUACAUAUCGUUACUGGUAAUCGUCGCGGCCACGCCGUUAAACCCCAACUUCUGAAUGUUGACCUCGGAUCAGGUAGGAAUACCCGCUGAACUUAAGCAUAUCAAUAAGCCGCG